rnacentral:rRNA from 1 species
CCUACGGGAGGCAGCAGUAGGGAAUAUUGCUCAAUGGGGGAAACCCUGAAGCAGCAACGCCGCGUGGAGGAUGAAGGUUUUCGGAUUGUAAACUCCUUUUGUUAGAGAAGAUAAUGACGGUAUCUAACGAAUAAGCACCGGCUACUUCCGUGCCAGCAGCCGCGGUAAUACGGAGGGUGCAAGCGUUACUCGUCAUCACUGGGCGUAAAGAGCGCGUAGGCGGGAUAGCAAGUCAGAUGUGAAAUCCUAUGGCUUAACCAUAGAACUGCAUUUGAAACUGUUAUUCUAGAGUAUGGGAGAGGUAGGUGGAAUUCUUGGUGUAGGGGUGAAAUCCGUAGAGAUCAAGAGGAAUACUCGUUGCGAAGGCGACCUGCUGGAACAUAACUGACGCUGAUGCGCGAAAGCGUGGGGAGCAAACAGGAUUAGAUACCCUAGUAGUC